GGUUCCAUGGUGUAGGGGCAGCACUUCAGAUUCUGAUUCUGGCAACGCGAGUUCGAUUCUCGCUGGGACCU